rnacentral:rRNA from 1 species
UUUUAUUCCGAUAUUAUUUUUUACCGUUGAAAAAAUUAAUAAUAAUUUAUCGUUAAUAAAAAUUAAAAUUUAUAAUAUUUUUAUUUUUAUUUUUUAGUUUUAAAUAAAAAAAAUAAAAUUUAUAUAUAUAAAAAUUUUGUUAUAAAUUAUAAUAGUUUAUUUAUUUGUUUUUUAUAAUAAAUAAUAGUAUUUUUUUUUAUUAUUUUAUAAAAAAAAAUAAUUUAAUUAUAAUUAUUAAAAGUAAUUUUGUUAUUUAGAAUAAUAUAUUAAUAUAAAUAACAAAAAUAUUAAAUAUUUUUUAAAUUUUUUGGGGAUUUAAGUUAUAAUUUUUUGUGUCUGCCCAGUGAAUUUAAAUAGCACUUUUAGCGUGAUUGGCCCAAAGCCAAACACCACAUUUCUUCCCUUUCCCCCACCC